rnacentral:rRNA from 1 species
ACUCCUACGGGAGGCAGCAGUGGGGAAUAUUGCACAAUGGGGGAAACCCUGAUGCAGCCAUGCCGCGUGUGUGAAGAAGGCCUUCGGGUUGUAAAGCACUUUCAGUAGGGAGGAAGGUAGUGUAGUUAACACCUGCACUAUUUGACGUUACCUACAGAAGAAGCACCGGCUAACUCCGUGCCAGCAGCCGCGGUAAUACGGAGGGUGCGAGCGUUAAUCGGAAUUACUGGGCGUAAAGCGCAUGCAGGCGGCCUGUUAAGUCAGAUGUGAAAGCCCGGGGCUUAACCUCGGAAUUGCAUUUGAAACUGGCAGGCUAGAGUCUUGUAGAGGGGGGUAGAAUUUCAGGUGUAGCGGUGAAAUGCGUAGAGAUCUGAAGGAAUACCAGUGGCGAAGGCGGCCCCCUGGACAAAGACUGACGCUCAGAUGCGAAAAGCGUGGGGAGCAAACAGGAUUAGAUACCCUGGUAGCGUCGAC